AAAACAUUUUUACCAGCCUACUUCUAAGGUUGGAUACUUGGAUUGUAGAUGUGCUCUUACAGUUGGUAUGUAGGUGAGUUACAAUUGUUAUAUUCCUGCAAAUCAUGUGUUUUUUACAGUUAAAACCUGAGCUUCUGAUGCCUAUUUUUGUUAUUUUCCUGUUGUUCACUGAUAUUACAGUUUGCUGCUUCUGACAUGUUAACUACUUCAUGAGUUAUUUACUGCUCUCUACUUUUUCUAUGUAAAUGCCAACAAAUGAUGAAUUUACAGUAGCAAAAGAGUGGAGUUACAGUGUGUUGUUUUUGUAAUCUGUUCAAUUUCUACUUGGAAGUCACUAUAUAUCUAGUUUGCUGUGGUGUGCAGUAGUCACUGAAUUUUUACAGUCCCUAAAUCUCUGAAUUCCUGUUUUCCUAUGUCAGAUCUUUCUUUAUGAUGGAGCAGUUGUGUUGUUCUUGGGGGUAGAAGUGUUCCAGGUGUGAAGAGAAUAACAAGGGAUCGAUCAGAUGUGAAUGGGAUGAAGUGAUUCUGUGAGCAACUACCAGAUUUGCCCCAUGUUCAGGUGCAAAGGGGCCUCAGAUGCAACGGUCAGGUUUAGUGCAUUUAUUACACUGUUACGUUUUUUACUGAAACUAUUUUGGUUUUCAGUCCUUUUUUGUCUCGUGAUAUAAAUUCACAUACAUUCAUUUUUUCUGUUGUUUCUUUUGUCGUACAUACAUAUAUACAUACACGUGUCACGUUGUCACUAGAUGAAAAAAUUGAUUGAAGUCCAAUUUGUUUCGAGUCGACUGUAAUAUAGACACUCCCUAAAUAAAAGUAGUAUUCUAAUAAAAUAGCUAGCAUGUAGGCGCACAGGUUGAUGACUAGUUUAUAAGUGAU
rnacentral:lncRNA from 1 species